GAAAAGGCAGUGAAGGUGUAAGUAGAAGCUUAUUUUCCGUCCAGAGAGAGGAGAUCAUCGGCUGAGAGUCUUCUUCGGUUCAGAUAAGAGUUCGAAAUUCCCGCCGGAGCCGCGCAGCUGAACAGGAAGCCUCAGAAGAGCUUUAAGUAGGCGGCGACGUUUCGUACACGUUACGUAUAAGAUAAGAGCCUGCAAAAGCAGGAAUCAGGGUGGUACCGCGGUUUAUAUUCCGUCCCUUCG
rnacentral:ncRNA from 1 species